UACUACGGGCCAUGUCUGAACCCAGCUUUAGGUUCAUUGCCGAGGUGGUGCACACUUAUCAUAUCUCAACCCCCCUAACAGCGAGAAGACAUGGAUCUGCAAGGAUGAAACAGCAGAGCCUGUGCCAAAUAAGAGACGAGGCACACUAAACACAUCCUUGACUAUGUAUGUAGUCGAGGAGUGUAAUGUACACGAAGAUCCCAGCGACGAAACCGAGCUACGCAGGAUGUAUUUCAGUUGUAACGAUGCAGUUUGCGGGGAAAUGAAGGAGCGCUUUGGGGAGCGCAACUGUAUGCUGAUGGAUGUGCUCAGGUCUCUGGACCCAGAGGAUUCUGCUUUCUUAGAUGUGUCAAAAGUGAAACCUUUGCUGGACCUUACUAAUACACCAAUUGUAGAGUCUGAAUACACAGUGGCUCACCAGUUCCUAAGCAUGCAAAUGAAGGACUCAUCUCCAGCCAGCGGUGGUAAAUGGACAAUGAAAAAACUUCUACAACACUUUCAAAAACCUCUCGUAGCAAUGCCAAGUGUGAUGACGGCGCUUAAACAUGCUUUGACCUUUGGCGCAAGCACGGCACUCUGUGAGAACACCACAUUAAAGAAAAUCCUCACCGAGCAUCGCCUUAGCAUGCUUCAUCGACGCAAGGCCAAUUUAAUUAAGUUGGCAUUUGAAAAGGACUUAACCAAAAAGUUCAGGGAUGAGUGGUUGCACAAUGUCGCCUACCGCUCUACUAAUGGGCGUGUGACAGGAGAGACAAAAGAUAGAUGAAGAGGUUGUCGCUGUGAUGACAGGUGACGUAUGGAUCAGCCAGUAAUUCAGAGCCCAGAGGUUAGAGGUCACAGAUGUAAGAAGUAAACGUGUGGCAGGUGUGAUCAUGGAGACUGUAAGCUGUAGCAGGCUAGGCUGCAGGCUACACCAUGGUGCUGACAAGAAGAACGUCACAGUCAAUGAGAGUCUUAUGGGAUGUGGAGACACCUUGCUGUACACUGAGAUGAGCUUGGAGGACAUGGGGCAAAUCAGAUGACAUCAAAUUGUCUUGACAAAUCUCCACCAUCGGCCUAAAAUAA